rnacentral:rRNA from 1 species
UCCAGACUCCUACGGGAGGCAGCAGUGGGGAAUAUUGCACAAUGGGGGAAACCCUGAUGCAGCGACGCCGCGUGAAGGAAGAAGUAUUUCGGUAUGUAAACUUCUAUCAGCAGGGAAGAAAAUGACGGUACCUGACUAAGAAGCCCCGGCUAACUACGUGCCAGCAGCCGCGGUAAUACGUAGGGGGCAAGCGUUAUCCGGAAUUACUGGGUGUAAAGGGAGCGUAGACGGUUAAGCAAGUCUGGAGUGAAAGGCGGGGGCCCAACCCCCGGACUGCUCUGGAAACUGUGUAACUAGAGUGCAGGAGAGGUAAGCGGAAUUCCUAGUGUAGCGGUGAAAUGCGUAGAUAUUAGGAGGAACACCAGUGGCGAAGGCGGCUUACUGGACUGUAACUGACGUUGAGGCUCGAAAGCGUGGGGAGCAAACAGGAUUAGAUACCCGGGUACA